ACGUACGCUGGCGGCACGCCUAACACAUGCAAGUCGAACGAAGUAGCAAUACUUAGUGGCAGACGGGUGAGUAACAUGUAGGUAUCUGCCCUUUGGCCUGGAAUAACACGAGGAAACUUGUGCUAAUACCGGAUAAGUCUUUACGGAGAAAGCUUUAUGCACCAUUGGAUGAGCCUGCACUUGAUUAGUUUGUUGGUAGGGUAAUGGCCUACCAAGACUGUGAUCAAUAGCUGAUUUGAGAGGAUGAUCAGCCACAUUGGGACUGAGACACGGCCCAAACUCUUACGGGAGGCAGCAGUGGGGAAUCUUGCACAAUGGAGGAAACUCUGAUGCAGCGAUGCCGCGUGAGUGAAGAAGGCCCUUGGGUUGUAAAGCUCUUUCGUCGGGGAAGAAAAUGACUGUACCCGAAUAAGAAGGUCCGGCUAACUUCGUGCCAGCAGCCGCGGUAAUACGAAGGGACCUAGCGUAGUUCGGAAUUACUGGGCUUAAAGAGUUCGUAGGUGGUUGAAAAAGUUAGUGGUGAAAUCCCAGAGCUUAACUCUGGAACUGCCAUUAAAACUUUUCAGCUAGAGUAUGAUAGAGGAAAGCAGAAUUUCUAGUGUAGAGGUGAAAUUCGUAGAUAUUAGAAAGAACACCAAUUGCGAAGGCAGCUCUCUGGCUCAUUACUGACACUGA
rnacentral:rRNA from 1 species